rnacentral:rRNA from 1 species
UUAGUCAAGUAAGUAAGGGCGUACGGCGGAUGCCUUGGCCAUAUCAGCCGAAGAAGGACGCGAUAAGCUGCGAUAAGCUGCGGUGAGGUGCAAGUAACCUUUGACCCGCAGAUUUCCGAAUGGGGAAACCCGGCAGCAGUAGUGCUGUCAUCCUCUAUGAGGAAGGGCACCCGGUGAACUGAAACAUCUAAGUAGCCGGAGGAAAAGGAAUCAACAGAGAUACCCCUAGUAGCGGCGAGCGAACGGGGCAGAGCCCAAACCGGAAUGGGAAACCAAUCCGGGGUUGUGGACUGCUAUCAAAUGCAUGAGUGAAGCAGAAUGAGCUGGGAAGCUCAGCCAGAGAGAGUGAGAGCCUCGUAGGCGUAAGCAAAUGCAUGGAGCAGGAUCCGGAGUACCACGGGACACGAGAAACCCUGUGGGAAGCUGGGGGGACCACCCUCCAAGGCGAAACACUGAUAUGGACCGAUAGCGCAUAGUACCGUGAGGGAAAGGUGAAAAGAACCCCGGGAGGGGAAUGAAAGAGAACCUGAAACCGUAUGUCUACAAGCAGUCGAAGCACUUUAUAGGUGCGACGGCGUGCCUAUUGAAGAAUGAACCGGCGAGUUACUUCAGCUAGCGAGGUUAAGCGGAAAACGUGGAGCCGAAGCGAAAGCGAGUCUGAACAGGGCGUAUAGUUAGUUGGAGUAGACCCGAAACCACAGUGAUCUACCCAUGUCCAGGUUGAAGCACAGGUAAAAAUGUGUGGAGGACCGAACCAGUGAGCGUUGAAAAGCUUUUGGAUGAGAUGUGGGUAGGGGUGAAAUGCCAAUCGAACGUGGAGAUAGCUGGUUCUCCCCGAAAUAGCUUUAGGGCUAGCCUCAUGGCGAGAGUACAG